rnacentral:rRNA from 1 species
CACGUAGGGGACGAGCGUUGUCCGGAUUCAUUGGGCGUAAAGCGCGCGUAGGCGGCUCGGAAAGUCGGGCGUGAAAUGCCGGGGCUCAACCCCGGGACUGCGUCCGAUACUGGAAAGCUCGAGUCCGGGAGAGGUGAGUGGAACUGCGAGUGUAGAGGUGAAAUUCGUAGAUAUCGGGAGGAACACCAGUGGCGAAGGCGGCGAUCUGGGUCGAUACUGACGCUGAGGCGCGAAAGCUAGGGGAGCAAACGGG